rnacentral:rRNA from 2 species
ACGGGAGGCAGCAGUGGGGAAUAUUGGGCAAUGGGGGAAACCCUGACCCAGCGACGCCGCGUGAGGGAAGAAGGUUUUCGGAUUGUAAACCUCUGUCUUCGGGGACGAUAAUGACGGUACCCGAGGAGGAAGCCACGGCUAACUACGUGCCAGCAGCCGCGGUAAUACGUAGGUGGCAAGCGUUAUCCGGAUUUACUGGGUGUAAAGGGAGCGCAGGUGGACUGGCAAGUCGAAUGUGAAAUGCGGAGGCUCAACCUCCGAACUGCGUUCGAUACUGUUGGUCUUGAGUGGAGUAGGGGCAGACGGAAUUCCCGGUGUAGCGGUGGAAUGCGUAGAUAUCGGGAGGAAUACCGGUAGCGAAGGCGGUCUGCUGGGCUCUAACUGACACUGAGGCUCGAAAGCGUGGGGAGCAAACAGGAUUAGAUACCCUGGUA